CUGGCAGUCUAAUUCAUCUCGAGUUCAGAUACCAGGUCUCUGCCAAAGGCUAUCAAUCUCUACCAUCAAAGCUGCAGGUCUCUGCUAGUCUCUGGAACUCUUCAGGGAUAGCAACAUCUAGUGGCUACAUAUCUUUUUUUGUGUGACCUUCUCUGCCCACAUUACCUAAGAAUCAUGUGAAUUUACAGGACGACAGGCACCUACAGUAUCCAGGUAAGAAUCACAAAGCUGUGAGCGAGGCUUUGUU
rnacentral:lncRNA from 1 species